rnacentral:rRNA from 1 species
GACGAACGCUGGCGGCGUGCUUAACACAUGCAAGUCGAACGGUGAAGGGAUCAGCUUGCUGGUUCUGGAUGAGUGGCGAACGGGUGAGUAACACGUGAGUAACCUGCCCCCUUCUUCUGGAUAACCGCAUGAAAGUGUGGCUAAUACGGGAUAUUCUGCGCCUGCUGCAUGGUGGGUGUGGGAAAGAUAUUGUUUCGGUGGGGGAUGGGCUCGCGGCCUAUCAGCUUGUUGGUGGGGUGAUGGCCUACCAAGGCGGUGACGGGUAGCCGGCCUGAGAGGGUGGACGGUCACACUGGGACUGAGACACGGCCCAGACUCCUACGGGAGGCAGCGGUGGGGAAUAUUGCACGAUGGGCGCAAGCCUGAUGCAGCGACGCCGCGUGAGGGAUGGAGGCCUUCGGGUUGUGAACCUCUUUCGCCAGUGAAGCAGGCCUGUCCCUUGUGGGUGGGUUGACGGUAGCUGGAUAAGAAGCGCCGGCUAACUACGUG